rnacentral:rRNA from 1 species
UACGAAGGGGGGCUAGCGUUGCUCGGAAUUACUGGGCGUAAAGGGCGCGUAGGCGGAUAGUUUAGUCAGAGGUGAAAAGCCCAGGGCUCAACCUUUGGAAUUGCCUUUGAUACUGGCUAUCUUGAGUUCGGGAGAGGUGAGUGGAAUGCCGAGUGUAGAGGUGAAAUUCGUAGAUAUUCGGCGGAACACCAGUGGCGAAGGCGGCUCACUGGACCGGUACUGACGCUGAUGCGCGAAAGCGUGGGGAGCAAACGGGG